rnacentral:rRNA from 1 species
UACGGAGGGUGCAAGCGUUAUCCGGAUUUACUGGGUUUAAAGGGUGCGUAGGUGGGUCUGUAAGUCAGUGGUGAAAUCUCCGAGCUUAACUCGGAAACUGCCAUUGAUACUAUAGGUCUUGAGUACAUUUGAAGUGGGCGGAAUGUGUCAUGUAGUGGUGAAAUACUUAGAUAUGACACAGAACACCGAUUGCGUAGGCAGCUCACUAAACUGUAACUGACGCUGAGGCACGAAAGCGUGGGGAGCAAACAGG